rnacentral:rRNA from 1 species
UACGUAGGGACCGAGCGUUGUCCGGAAUCAUUGGGCGUAAAGAGCGUGUAGGCGGCCUUUUAAGUCCUGCGUGAAAUCCUGCGGCUCAACCGCAGACGGUCGUGGGAAACUGGAAGGCUAGAGUGCGGGAGAGGAGAGUGGAAUUCCCCGGUGUAGCGGUGAAAUGCGUAGAGAUCGGGAGGAAGGCCGGUGGCGAAGGCGGCGCUCUGGAACGUUACUGA